AACUACCAAAAUUGUACAAAUAUUUUGAAUCUUGCAGCAAUGGAAUAAAGCAGAAUCAAACUGAAUAACACGAUCCCUUUAUUGAUAUACACCCAUGAAUAGCUCAGAGCAAUACAAUUAGCAGAAAUACCACAUUAUACUCAUUGUUCGCACACGAAUCAUCUUGGUCUGAUUAGUACUACAUCCUAGGCACACGCAUGUGCACCACACACUUGUCCCGUUUCAGCCGCUCGGAUGACCACGUCUGCAUCCAGCAGCUUCCAGUCCACAGUUGAUUAAAAAAAAGCAACAGGCACCACCAAAUCCCCAUCGAUGUCACUGCCCACUGCGUGCCCCUUCUUAUCCACAACACAUCGCCAUUCCACAUCACCCAAGCGCCGCUCCGAUCUUCCUCCUGCUGCCUGACCACCCAUCGUUGCUCCUCCUCCUCUCCUCUUCUCCAUCCGCCUCAGUCCUCACCACCCAAGUGCUGCUCUCCUAUUCUUGGCCGCAGUGGCUGGCCUGAGCCACAUCCCAGCUGACAGCGUCGGCGUGCUUUCUGGCUACGGCUGGGGCGUUGGUGGCCUGCUCGUCGGCGCACUGUGUCCAGGGCGGAGCCCCCUUCCUUGCAGUGGUGGUAGAGCCCCUCCUCCCGGAAGGUGGCUGGGGGCAACCGAGGUUGCGGGGCAGGUGUGCCGUGGCUCGGUUCCGUGCGGGAGCCAUGGAGGGGGCGCGCUGGAGGGAGCAGCUUGGGAGCACGGCGGAGCAACCAUGGCGCCACCCACGAGAACCCCGACGCCUUGUAAGCCCCUCCGCCGCUCGCCUGGAUCCGGACGCCGCCGUCGUUCUGCGCGUCCAGGCCGUUCGCCGCAGGUGUGCCGUGGCUCGGUUCCGUGCGGGAGCCAUGGAGGGGGCGCGCUGGAGGGAGCAGCUUGGGUUCUCACCGCCAUGUCGUGCCACCCCUCGUUUCUCUCCUCCUCGGUUUUCUCCUUCUCUCUCCCACUCAUGCUUCCUCUUUUUUUUCAGGAGCGCCACCCACGUGAACCCCGACGCCUCCCAGCACUACUAGGGAAAGGCCUACUAGUGGCGCAUCAGUUUUGCCUAUUAAUGGCGCAUUACUGGUGCGUCACUAGUAUCACGCUACUAGUAUUAAACACUAAUGGUGCACCACUGGUGCGCUAUUAGUAUCUGGUAUACUAAUGGCGCAUCAUGCCGUGCGCCAUUAGUAUAGACCAAAAUGCGCCAUUAGUGUGCCUCUCAGGGGCGAUAUUUACACAUGUGCUUUGCCAUACUAAUGGCGCACUGUGGGGUGAUGCGUCAUUAGUAUCUUUUGGCAUAUUAAUGGCGCACGUUGGGGUGAUGCGCCAUUAGUAUGAAUAUUACGGAUUUUUUUUCUUUUCUGAUAUUUGCACAGGUUAUAAAAUAUAUUAUUGGACA